UACCAGCACCCCGAGUGGUCGGGACGUUUAUUGGGCCUAAAGCAUCCGUAGCCGGUUCUGCAAGUCUUCCGUUAAAUCCACCUGCUUAACAGAUGGGCCGCGGAAGAUACUAUAGAGCUAGGAGGCGGGAGAGGCAAGCGGUACUCGAUGGGUAGGGGUAAAAUCCGUUGAUCCAUUGAAGACCACCAGUGGCGAAGGCGGCUUGCCAGAACGCGCUCGACGGUGAGGGAUGGAAGCUGGGGGAGCAAACCGG
rnacentral:rRNA from 1 species